rnacentral:misc_RNA from 1 species
AACGGUCUAUACCUGCGGUACCUGCGGAAGGAUCAUUACCGAGUGCGGGUUCGAAUGAACCCAACCUCCCACCCGUGUCUACCGUUACCGCGUUGCUUCGGCGGGCCCACCGGGGCCGCGCCCUGGUCGCCGGGGGGCUCUAGUCCCCGGGCCCGCGCCCGCCGAAGCGCCCUGGAACCCUGUCUGAAUAGUGAGUCUGAGUGAGAGAUUGAAUCAUUAAAACUUUCAGCAAUGGAUCUC